rnacentral:rRNA from 1 species
AUAAUACUGACACUGAGGCUCGAAAGCGUGGGUAGCAAACAGGAUUAGAUACCCUGGUAGUCCACGCCGUAAACGAUGUCUACUAGUCGUUGGGUCCCUUGAGGACUUAGUGACGCAGCUAACGCAAUAAGUAGACCGCCUGGGGAGUACGGCCGCAAGGUUAAAACUCAAAUGAAUUGACGGGGGCCCGCACAAGCGGUGGAGCAUGUGGUUUAAUUCGAUGCAACGCGAAGAACCUUACCUGGUCUUGACAUAUCUAGAAUCCUGCAGAGAUGCGGGAGUGCCUUCGGGAAUUAGAAUACAGGUGCUGCAUGGCUGUCGUCAGCUCGUGUCGUGAGAUGUUGGGUUAAGUCCCGCGACGAGCGCAACCCUUGUCCUUAGUUACCAGCGGGUUAAGCCGGGAACUCUAAGGAUACUGCCAGUGACAAACUGGAGGAAGGCGGGGACGACGUCAAGUCAUCAUGGCCCUUACGACCAGGGCUACACACGUGCUACAAUGGUAGGUACAGAGGGCAGCUACACAGCGAUGUGAUGCGAAUCUCAAAAAGCCUAUCGUAGUCCAGAUUGGAGUCUGCAACUCGACUCCAUGAAGUAGGAAUCGCUAGUAAUCGCGGAUCAGAAUGCCGCGGUGAAUACGUUCCCGGGCCUUGUACACACCGCCCGUCACACCAUGGGAGUUGAUUGCACCAGAAGUGGAUAGCUUAACCUUCGGGGGAGCGUUCACCACGGUGUGGUUGAUGACUGGGGUGAAGUCGUAACAAGGUAACCGUA